rnacentral:tRNA from 1 species
GGCCAGGUAGCUCAGUCGGUAGAGCAGGGGACUGAAAAUCCCCGUGUCGGUAGUUCGAUUCUACUCCUGGCCACCA